UGCCUUUAUACCCAGAUCAGUUCCAAGCUGGCAGAGGAGGUAGGAACAGUGCCUGGAUGCAAGGCUUUAUGGAACAUGCUGGAGAAUUCCAGGAACUAGAUGAGCCAAUAAUUUAUCAUAAUAAUUUAUCCAAAAUAGCUUUAUUGAACAAAUUGGGGCCCCUUAAGAAGGCUAUCCAGUUCAAAGAUGCUUGCAAGAAUGAUAUGAAGGCAGCAAACAUUGAGCCAAAUGACUAGAAGAAGAUUGCUGAGGAUCAAAGUGCGUGGAACAGUCUGUAACAUGUGGAAUGAAAGUUUUUGGGGAAAGAAGAGUCCAACAUGCAGAGGAAAUAAGAAACAUCAGGAAGAACCCUGCACGAUGUUCAGGAUUGUCAGAUAUGAACUUUAUUUGUGAUGUGUGUGGAAGGGACUGUCACUCAAGAAUUGGGCUUUACAGCCACUCAUAGAUAUUCAAUGAGCUGAUGCCACACACACUGCAAUUCUACUGACUUGUCAGGCAGACAGAUGCAUAUUACUAUUACUACGACUAUGGUUAUGAUUACUGCAUAGAUAUUAUAGACUGAACCCAAUUGCUCCAUCUUUCCUCGCAACGAAAAGAAAUGUACAAAUGAAUGGGAAUACUGGUGUAGUAAAAGGACUACUCAUAUAGGAUAAUUCUAUCAAAUGUAAAGAAGUGUGGACCCAUCAAUAUAAAAAAAAAAGGUAAAUGGAUAUAUAAAGACUAUUACUCUAGAAGUUGCAAACAAAAAAAUACAAAUAAUAACAUUAUUAUAUGCUAAAAUGCUGCUAUGAGCAUUAGCAAGCUUCUGCUGUCUUCAGUAGCUCUACCUUGGUUUCUACUCCUGGUACUUCUAGAGCAAUAGUACAGCUCUGAAAAUACAUUGAUUCCUGUUUGGUCCCUUAUUUUCUGUUAGGCUCUGUUUUUAUUAUUUCUUUCACUUUGGGCCCUCUUCACACUUUACACUUACCUCUAUGCCCUUUUGUAUAAUAUGAUUAAAACAGGAAAUGUUGGUAGGAAAAUGUUAUUUUCAUUUUCCUAACUAAUGUGCUUACUGAAAUUGAAUUAGGACUAUUUUCUGAAACUUCACCUGGUUUAAACUGGUAAAAAUAAAUAGCCAACAGUAUAUCUCACAAAAUCUCUCCAAGAGUGAAAUGACCUUUUUGUGUAUCCACCUUCCCCUCACUGGAAAAUCUCCCUUGGAAGAGAGACUAUCAUGAUAGUCACUAUCUGAAUGCAAGGAUGUCAACAACAGAUGUGCCAGUAAGAUCCCUUACCAGCAUAAUGGGAUAAGAUGCCUGCACAGGGUCCUGCCUUUGCCUUCUGGAGGUCUCAGGGUUUACAUGGGGCCUUGGCUUGGAACAGAGGAUGUAUCCACAUGGGAUAAUUCCCAUGCCUGAUUAAAUGAUUCGGGAGAAAUUCUACAAGAUAUAUAGAAGUAUACUUCUUAGCUUCCAUUUCCAGGAUGAAGGAGUUAUGUGAAAUACCCCUAUUUACUUUACUGACUUUGAAGUGACAUAAUAGAGAAAAAGUGAGUUACUGAGCACAUAGGACACGUUGGGGGUGGGGGGCAGUGCCAUAGAGAAGAAUUUUUCCUACUUUGAUUUUGAUUCCAACUUUGUCUGAAUCCUUCUGCUUACAGUUUAGAAAACAACACUAUAAAACAUGGUUGCCAGUGUCUAAAUAUACAAUGCCCUGAUAUGGAAAAGGUUUUUAAUUUUAAAGUAAUGCUCCUAUUUACCAUUGUGUGGUUAAAGAUAGUAGAGCUCUAUAGACCAACCUGACUUUUGAAAGAGCUUCAUAAAUUAGUCCCAUAACGUAACAGAGAUGUCAGCAUUUUUUAUUUUUUUUUUUCAGAUUUGACUGCAUCAAACAUUUAUGGUUGGCUCACACUUACUCAGAGUGCAGUGAGCUAUAACUAUUGUGGUUGGGUUUAGGGGUUUGUUUGUUUUUUAAGCAAAAACUGGAAAUUCACUGAGCUGGCCCCCUACAGUUUAGUGCAAUGUACAAUUAAUUUCCUCUAAUUCUUUUUAAAUAGUUCACUUAUUAAUGAGAAGAAAAAAAUCCUCUAAAUUAUUCCAAGAAGAAAUACUUGAGUGUCUUUUUAAAAGAAUUUGGCAUUGAAGAGUCUAAGAUCACAAGUUUUUUUUCAUAAGGAAUUCCCUCUGAUUUCAGUGUGAGUUCUUUCCAGAAACCAUGGAAGAUUGGGUCUAACAUUUGUGCCUAGAUCCUCAAAUAUAUUAAGAAAACUGACUGGAAACUGAGUUACAAUUAAUAAUAAAUUCACUGGGAGUUAAGACACAUAAAACAUUGGAGACUGUGGGAUAAGAUUUAUGUUCUUUUUAAGAAAAAGCAAUACUGCCCUUAAUAUAACUUUAAUCUACUGCUUAGUUCUGAUUCACAGAAUUGCUGGCUACUUGUACUAGCUGCUUGGUGGUGCCUGACUUUAGCUCCCCCAAGCUUCCCCCUGGGUCAUCUCUAAUUGUAAUUAUCAUAUAUUUAUUGGACCUGCUGGAAGGCUCUGGUGGUCUAUGACAGCCUGCAGGACCAUGGAGUGGAACCCCCUGCAGCUAUAAUAGGGGUGGUCUCUAUGUGGCAGGCAGGUGACCGGUAUGUGGGUCCCAUUCAGGGCCCUGAUAUGCUGGGGGAUCCCCAGUGCACAGAACCCUGCCACCACAGCCUGGAGGUCAUGGACAUAGAGGAUGGUAUCCACCACCACAUCCUGGAGCACAUCCAGCACCCAGCCUUAGGAGCAGAUGAAAGACCAAAAUAAGUUUUAAGAGUGCGUCUACGUGUGCAGUUAAUGUGAAUCAAUAAACUCCAGGGUUUAUUGCUCAGGGUUUAUAUCCAUUUGAAUAUGUGCUUGGGAGUGCAGGAUGUUGAGCUGGGUUGGAGCAUCCCCGGCUGGCAGGGAGUCUGGGCGGGUUGGGGGGAGGGGUCAGCCUGCCAGCCCAGGGCUUCUCCCCUCACAAUAUGCUGUGGAGGGGCUGAGUGGGGCAUUGGGGUGCUUCAGCGUGGGAAUAGCCAGCAGGCAGCCCCCACACUAAAGCACCCUCAUGCCCCAGCCAGCCAGGGGAGCAUCUACAUGUGCACUGCUGAAGAGUUUUUUACUCUUCAACAGGAUAGUAUUUGUAUUUACAAGUACUAACCAGCUGCACAGUAAAUUAGUUUACUCCAGCCUAAUAGGGGCAUGUGUGUAGAUGCUGAGAUUUUUACUGUGCAACUAAUUAGUCUACUGCACAGUAAACAUAACAUAUAGAUGCACCCUAAGUUCAGUCCCUGUUUGUGCCAUAUGCCACAAGAGAAGAAACCUGCAUUCUCUUGUUACAGUUUAUUUCUACCUCUACUGUCUAGCUGUACCAGGACACCCUACUGUGCCAGCUGUGCCACUGUGGGAUUGAACCCAGGCUCUCCAUUCCCUAGCCCUGCCCCCCUAGUCCUCUCUCACUUGCUUUAGAGUAAUAAAGUCCCUGCUGCAGCUGUAUUCUCCUUGUACUAUUACCUGCCAUGUAUGUAUCAUACACAAUGCUGUAAAAGUUGUCAUUGUCUUGAAGAAAUAAUUUCUGAGGGUUUCUAGAACAUUCAAUUAUAUUUUGUUUUCCUUACUUUAUGUUUUAUAUCACUAGGACUUCUUUCCUUUGUUCUGCAAAAACCUUCUAAGGUGUUUUUUCUUUUUGUUUUACUGCUAGAAGUAAACAGGAAUUGUGGAGGCAAUUUUAAAGAGGGUUGUUAAAUGGGAAGUCUGGACUAAAUUCUUCUUUUGAAACACACCUUCAAAGAUAUUAAGUAGAAUAAAAUGUACUGUACAUUAGAUAGGAGUCUGACAAUAAAGCAACCAUUUUAAGUGACAUUUUAUCUAUGCCUGAAUUGAUAUAAAAUGGUAAUUCGACCCUUGGACUAGUUUGCCCAUGUUGUAAUAACAAGUUUGAUGACCUGUGGCACAGCUAUGCAGCUUUUAUUUUAUAAGCAAUAUGUUGGGGCUGAGAUGAUGAUGACUAUAUGAUAUAUGCAACAUUAAAUUUAAGUCAAACAGUUUCAUUUUCUAUUUGAAAGCUCAUCUAACUUUUUUAUAAUUGAUAGUUCACAUAACGCUAUCUAGAUCACUAUCUUCAUUUUGAACU